rnacentral:rRNA from 1 species
UCGGCGUUAAUAUAUGACCCGAUUAGCAGCUUCCGGGAAACCAAAGUUUUUCGUUUCCGGGGGAAGUAUGGUUGCAAAGCUGAAACUUAAAGGAAUUGACGGAAGGGCACCACCAGGAGUGGAGCCUGCGGCUUAAUUUGACUCAACACGGGAAAACUCACCCGGCCCGGACACCGUAAGGAUUGACAGACUGAGAGCUCUUUCUUAAUUCGGUGGGUGGUGGUGCAUGGCCGUUCUUAGUUGGUGGAGCGAUUUGUCUGGUUAAUUCCGAUAACGAACGAGACUCUGGCCUAUUAAAUAGACGAUAUAUUUAAAAGUAUAUCGCGCUUCUUAGAGGGACAAGCGGCGUCUAGCCGCAUGAAAUAGAGCAAUAACAGGUCUGUGAUGCCCUUAGAUGUCCGGGGCUGCACGCGCGCUACACUGAAAGAAUCAGUGUGCGUUACGCCUAGUUCGGAAGAACCGGGUAACCCAAGUAAAUUCUUUCGUGCUUGGGAUAGGGAAUUGCAAUUAUUUCCCUUAAACGAGGAAUUCCCAGUAAAUGCGGGUCAUAAGCUCGCGUUG